AACAGGGACGAGAGGGGCGAGUUCGUUGAGAUUGCCGUCGUUGGAAAGUUUGAGUUCGUGAGGUUGGGGAGAGGGUGAAGGAAGACAACAUCUGUGUUCUCCGUUUCCAUUUUUUUGUUUUUUUUCCUUUUUAAUUUUAUUUAUUUAAUUUAAUUUGUUUUUAACACAAAAACCAUAAAAAAUGUUUAUUUGUUUUUUUAUUUUAACUCUUUUUUAUUUUUAUCCCGGUUUAUAUAUUCAACGUAGCAGCACAAUGUUAAAUAACCCUGAGUGGUCUGGUGGAGGAGGGCAGUGUUCAUAUUCUUGAGUGGGGAGGGUUCAAU
rnacentral:lncRNA from 1 species